AACAAUCUACGCAGCCUUCAUCCGGGAAUAUUCAAGACCUUAAUGUCCUUGGAACUUUUGUGGUUACAUGAGAAUCAGUUAAAAGAACUACCACCAAAACUUCUUGAUGAAUUGACUCGGCUGAAAAACUUUGCCGUCUCGGACAACGAGCUCCAAACGUUGCCAGAGGGAAUAUUUGACAACCUGACCAGCUUAACUAGAUUGUAUAUCUACAACAACAAACUAAGCAGUCUUCAUCCAGGAAUAUUCAGGAC